CAUGUUUUAUAAACCAGGUCUUUGCAGUGAGAUCUGAAUUCAAUCAGACAGGCAGGAGCCUCAAGAUGGAGUCACAGACCCAUAUACUCAUAUUCUUGUUGCUCUGGGUGUCUGGUGCUGAUGGGAACAUUGUGAUGACCCAGUCUCCCAAAUCCAUGUCUACAUCAGUAGGAGAGAGUGUCACCAUGAGCUGCAAGGCCAGUCAGAAUGUGGGUACUGCUAUAGCCUGGUACCAACAGAAACCAGGACAGUCUCCUAAACUGCUGAUCAGCUGGGCAUCCGAUCGGUACACUGGAGUCCCUGAUCGCUUCACAGGCAGUGGAUCUGGGACAGAUUUCACUCUCACCAUCAGCAGUGUGCAGGCUGAAGACCUGGCAGAUUAUUACUGUCAGCAUUAUAACAGCUAUCCUCCCACAGUGCUUCAGCCUCCUACAUAA